rnacentral:rRNA from 1 species
UACAGAGGGUGCAAGCGUUAAUCGGAAUUACUGGGCGUAAAGCGUGCGUAGACGGUUAUUUAAGUCAGGUGUGAAAGCCCCGGGCUCAACCUGGGAAUUGCAUUUGAGACUGAAUAGCUAGGGUGCGGAAGAGGGAAGCGGAAUUUCCGGUGUAGCGGUGAAAUGCGUAGAUAUCGGAAGGAACACCAGUGGCGAAAGCGGCUCUCUGGACCGGUACUGACGCUGAGACGCGAAAGCCAGGGGAGCAAACGGG